rnacentral:rRNA from 1 species
UGGGGAAUAUUGCACAAUGGACGGAAGUCUGAUGCUGCAACGCCGCGUGCGGGAUGACGGCCUUCGGGUUGUAAACCGCUUUUUCUCAUGACGAAGUUUUUUGACGGUAGUGGGGGAAGAAGCACCGGCUAACUACGUGCCAGCAGCCGCGGUGAUACGUAGGGUGCGAGCGUUGUCCGGAAUUAUUGGGCGUAAAGAGCUUGUAGGCGGUUUGUCGCGUCGAUAGUGCAAACUCAGUGCUUAACGCUGAGCCUGCUGUUGAUACGGGCAGACUAGAGGAAGGUAGGGGAGAAUGGAAUUCCCGGUGGAGCGGUGGAAUGCGCAGAUAUCGGGAGGAACACCGGUGGCGAAGGCGGUUCUCUGGGCCUUUCCUGACGCUGAGAAGCGAAAGCGUGGGGAGCGAACAGG